CCUACGGGAGGCAGCAGUGGGGAAUAUUGCACAAUGGGGGAAACCCUGAUGCAGCGACGCCGCGUGAGUGAAGAAGUAAUUCGUUAUGUAAAGCUCUAUCAUCAGGGAAGAAAAUGACGGUACCUGAGUAAGAAGCCCCGGCUAACUACGUGCCAGCAGCCGCGGUAAUACGUAGGGGGCAAGCGUUAUCCGGAUUUACUGGGGGUGAAGGGAGAGUAGACGGGAGUGCAAGGCUGGAGGGAAAGGCAGGGGCCCAACCCCUGAACUGCUCUGGAAACUGUCCGGCUGGAGUGCAGGAGAGGUAAGUGGAAUGCCUAGUGUAGCGGUGAAAUGCGUAGAUAUUAGGAGGAACACCAGUGGCGAAGGCGGCUUACUGGACUGUAACUGACGUUGAGGCUCGAAAGCGUGGGGAGCAAACAGGAUUAGAUACCCGGGUAGUC
rnacentral:rRNA from 1 species